CUGGAAUUACAUGACCAUUGGCACGUGAAAUGAUAUAUAUUGAAGCCAAUCUACGACAGACAACAGCAAAGGGUGGAUGUUGGAUGAUGCUAGAAAUCUACUCUUAAAUUUUGUCUAUUUAAUUGUACAGUGAUAAACGAAAUAAAUCUCCAAGUGUCAAGCUGAGGCACACACAUAUGUUAUCCCCCCUUUCUGAGCCGUAAAAAAAGAGGCUGUAAGAUUUACCAAAUAUUGCACAAUGAUGGAUCAUAAAUAACUUAUGUUUGCACGGCGCGCAGAGCCGACAAGCAAUUUGAACACAGCGAGUGACGUAACACACACACUCGAAUAGGAGAGAAAUUGUCACAGUUCCCCUUUCCCCUCAACUUUCCCUCUGGGUGGACAUCAGCAGUGACUACUGCCCCGGCCAUUAAGCACAAAAGGAUGACCCUUGAUGCCGUAAAAAAGAACUGACUCUGGACAAUGGUCACUUGAUGAUGCGGGCGCGUCGACGCCAGCGCUUCAUUCGGUUCAAUUCUCUAUACAAUACUCACAUCUCGCAUCGGGUUUUAUUCGCCUGCCUUUUUACGGCACAAUGUCCAAAUGAACGGAAGCGACUCGUAAAACUAGCGAAUUGUGAAUUAUGUCGCUGACAUAUAGUCCAGUCCUGUGUGUUCCCGCUGUCGCCAGUCAAUAGUUGACAAUAAAACUGUAAGAAGAAAAAAACAGACAUACACACAUAAAAAAAUUGAGAAGCGUGGACUUUGGUCAGCUUGCAGAGGGAAGGAAGUGCUAUUGAACUCCUGUUUUGCUAGAUCAAUAAAAGGUGCAUUAAACAGGACACUCGGCAAGUAGUCGCAUUUGUCGUAAAUACAUUUUAUUGUAAAUUGUUUGCAAUAAAAAAGAAAAAAAAAGCGGAGUUCGAGGUGUGACUGCUGCAUUGAAUUGCUGCUUAAAGUAAGCCUAAUGCUGAUGUGGCCAAAAGCAAACCGCAAACUACUUUCGAGCGUAAAAGAAAAUUCAACCAACAAAAAGUGUACUCUCUUAAAAAGUUCAGAACGAAGAAAUAAGCGGCAACGUUAAGGAUAAGGCUAAGGCAUUGAAUAUGCACACGCCAUAAUCACAUUAAAACGUAAACGAUAUGCAAAUGGAUGCGCUGACAAGGAAGCAGCCAGGACUCAACCAGGACCUCAGUUCAUCAAAAAUGCGCACAUGUAAAAAUGUGCAAAACGUAAAGAAAACUGUUUGGAAAAACUAACGUGUGUGUGCUUGAUGAAGUUUUCUUUUACGUAUAGUCCUGCGGCAGGAUGUGUGUAUAGCUUAAGAAAACAUAAUGUGUCGAGUGCGUUUUUCUUUCUUCCGGCGGCUUAGUCACGUCCUCCACUUACAACAGCAAUUAGUUGGAGGAUGCGAGCAGAUACUCAUUUUAAUUCAAUAAAAGUCAAACGAGGCAUUUCCUGGCCCGCAAAAACUUUUCGCUGCGGUCUGUUAGCUAAAGUCAAUUAAAAUUUUGUGAAAGCUGUAAGACAACGCCAGCCAAAAACUUUGUGGCCGAAAACUCUCAAGUCGCAUAUGUGAACGAAGUCUGUGAACUAUCCAAACUUCUGACCCAAAACAAUGGAGGAGAACGCAUCGAACACGCCUCGCAGCAUUUUGGCUUUGGCAAAUCCGCAUUGAAAUGAAGCAAUCGCAUUGGCACUUCAAUUAAAUUAUCACAACAGGCAACACCCGCAAAAAGGACAAUAGAAUAGACUCACUCGACUGUCAGCUAAGUGCAUUU